AAAUAGUUAUUAAAUAGGAAAAUAAAUAGAUCUUAAAUAGCUAUUUAAUUCCUAUUCAUAGAAAGUUGUGGCGAACUUUGUUCCAAAUAGUUAUUAAAUAGCUAUUUUUAAACUAUGUUUUCUUUUAUUUUUUAAUUUUUAGAGCCAUUCCUAGAAUAGUUAUUAAAUAGCAAAAUAAGUAGAUCUUAAAUAGCUAUUUAAUUCCUAUUCAUAGAAAGUUGUAGCGAAUUUUGGUCAAAAUGGCUAUUAAAUAGCUAUUUUUACACUAUGUUUACUUUUAUUUUUAGAGCUAUUGUUAAAAUAGCUAAUAAAUAGCACAGUGCCUUUUUUAAGGAAUUUUUACUAGGGAGGGGGGGGGGGGCAAAACAGGAAAAAAGGCAGAACGAAAAAUAUGACCCAUCGAAGUUUGGCGAACACGCGAGUCUGAAGAGAGAUUUUGUAAAACUUGAAUUUAUUAACUUCUCCUAUAUAGACAAUAACUUCAACCCUUUGUAGCUAUAAUCGUACAGCUAUAACCAGUGGCGUAGCCAGACCUUAAUUUUUUUAUUUUUUUUGGGGGGGGGAGGGUCGAACAGUCUAGGAGGGUCCGGGGGCAUGCACCCCCGGGGAAAUUUUCAAAUCUAGGGUCCUUGAAUUGCAAGCGAUUUCAAGCAUUUUGGGAGUGAAAUUCCGAAGAGUUCCGAAGAUUAUAAAGUACAUCGAAGACAUGAAUUUUCCAGACAUUUCUACCCGGAAUUAAAUAAGUGUCACCUUAUAGUUCCUCUCUGUGAUGCUGGGGGGGGAUCCCUAUGUGAUUUUGAUCAGAAAUGUUGCAUUUAAAUCAUUUUCGGUUCUAUGAGACACCAUUUCCGCAUUCUCAAAAUUGCGUUGCUUUUUCAUACGAUACAGAAUAAAUCUGAGAAGAAACAUUCGUGCUAUGAUGAUGAAUACAUGUAUUUAACAGUAAAAAAUCUAAACUAAAUCUAUUCUUCUUGGAACCAGCAUUUUAUCGGAUUGUUUGCAUGAAAUCUAUCGCUAUUAUGAAAUACUCGGUGAAGAACAAUAUGAAUUACACACAAGAUAGCUGUGGAGGAGGCUAUGGAAGGGCAUAAUCUCAUUAUCAAGUAAAUCAACUGCGAUUCUGACAGCAAUCAUGAGCAAUUCUGCUUCGCACUUCUGGGGGAGAAAUGGCUUUACAGGGGAGGGAUUCUUUCCCCCCAGAUAUAUAGUUAAAAAAGGCACUGAAAUAGCAAAAUAAUUAGAUCUUAAAAGCUAUUUAUUUCCUAUUCAAAUAGAAAGUUGUGAGAAUUUAGAAAGGGUAAAUGUAUUUAUUUAACUGGU